GCCGAGACGUUCCUCUCCCGUCGAACUCCGCUUGACAACUACGCUUUAGCUGAGCAGCACCACACCACUACCAGGAGGACGUUUCUUCCUCUGCCACCCCUCCAGUCUCCAUUCCCUAACCCAGGAGGCCAGCUCACCUCACACCGAAGGAUGACCUUGACAGGUGGUGGAGACAGGCACGUUCCCUUGGAUACAACCCUGUCUGUAGCCUGUAUCAGGUGGCCUCCAUGAGCUGCCUCUUCAAAUCAGCUGGCGCGCGAGACACACCCUCGGAAUGGAGCAAUAUGAUUGGUUCAUUUUGCGGUCACACCUCCACACUCAAGAAUCUGAUUGGACGGUACGACAACACAUGGCAGAAGUUACAGAACCCAGUCAGCUGAUAUUUACCAAUAUCCGCCGCUGGCAUCAACUUCAAGGCAACAUCUGAAGGAUACUUAGCGCCUGUCUCCCUUCAUCUGAACCCACGGACACACGUCUCCAUGGCAACAGACUCUUUAACCUUGGUGUUGCAAGAUUUGUUGUUAGAAUAAAUAUGUAUUGGUUGAAUAAACAUGUAAUCAUAAAUACAAAUGUGUACUGGACUGGCAUAACUAUAAAUACAGAUGCACAUAAUUAUCA